UAACCUCUUUCUUUAUUUGCAUAUGACAAGAUUUUUAUGCCACUUUAAUAAAGGGUCAUAUAUAGCAGUGCUUCACCCCCGUCCCCUGCUAGCCUGGUAGUGGGAAUUGAUCAAGGGCCACACACUCUAGCCCUUUUUUACUUUUAUUCUGAGUCAGGGUAUAGUUAAGCUGCUGAGUCUGGCCUUGAAUUUGGGAGACUCCUACCUCAGCCUCCUGUUGUAGCUAGGAUUAUAAGUAAGUGCCACCACACCUGGUUUAGAACAGAGCUUCUUAACUAGGUGUAGGGGUGAGCCCUUAAUUUCCCAGAAAACUUCCAACCAAAUUCACUCCACCUUCUGAUUCCAAUGGAACCUUCCAACUCCUCUGGGCCGAAUGCCCUGUUGCAGGUGAAAAAGCAGGACAGACUUUGGAGUAUAUUUUUUGCACUAGGGAUACAUUUGACGAUUUCUGGUUCCUGGUUUCCCUGCCCCAUCCACAAGAGCCCCAUCCUGGGCUUCUGGGAGGCAGAAUUAGGGUGAUGGACACCUGAGGCAGGACAAGAGCAGGAGAGGCUCUGAAAACCUCACGGGGUUGGCGGGAGUUGGACCCGAGACCAGAGAGGCAAAGGGUAAAAGAGGAUAAGGGCUGCUCUUUUCUGGGCAGGAUGGGCACCGAGUGGCAACUGGGCAAUGUGGCUUCUAGUGGCUCAGACAGGCAGUAAGGAGACAGUGGAGCUGCCCUUGAGAUUCUGAGGGGAAAGGAUCCCACCCUGGAACCCCAGGCGGGGCCCAACUGGCAACCAGGCAGGAAGCCUGAACAGAGACACUGGCAGGUCUUCUGAGGAAGCUCCAUUAGACAGACUUCAAAAAUGCACAAGUAAGGGGCUGGGCUGGGGCUGGGGCUGGGGCUGGGGCUCAGCAGUAGAGAGCUCGCCUCGCACGUGCGGGACCCUCG
rnacentral:lncRNA from 1 species